UGCGGUUAUACAAAAAUUAAAUUAAUUUUUAUUAGAAUUUAAUAAAUAAAAUUAAUUAAUGAAUAACUUAAAUUUUAAAUUAUAAAGUGAAAUUUUAAUUUAAUUAAAAUUUAUUUUUUUUUUAUGACAUUAAUAAAUUUUAUAAAAAACUAGGAUUAGAUACCCUAUUAUAAAAAUUUAAAUUUAAUAAUUCUAAAAUAGUAUAUAAUUUAUAGAAACUUAAAUAAUUUGGCGGUAUUUUAGUUCAUUUAGAGGAAUCUGUCUAAUAAUUGAUAAUCCACGAUUAAAUUUACUUAAUUUAUAAUUUUGUAUAUCGUUGUUAAAAAAAUAUUUUUAAAUAAAUAUAAUAUUUUAAAAUUUAAAUAAAAAAUUAAAUCAGAUCAAGAUGCAGAAUAUAAUUAAGAAUAUGAUGGAUUACAAUAAAUUUUAUUUUAUUUUGGAUAUUAAUUUGAAAUAAAUUAAUUGAAAUUGGAUUUAAAUGUAAUUUUAUUUAUUUUUUUAAAAUGAUUUUAAAUUAAAAUAUGUACAUAUUGCCCGUCGCUUUCAUUUAUAAAUUGAAAUAAGUCGUAACAAAGUAGAGGUACUGGAAAGUGUUUCUAGAAAGAU
rnacentral:rRNA from 1 species